rnacentral:rRNA from 1 species
GAAGAACGCAGCGAAAUGCGAUACGUAGUUGUGAAUUGCAGAAUUCCGCGAAUCAUCGAGUUUUUGAACGCAAGUUGCGCCCGAGGCUUGUCCAAGGGCAUUUCCGCUAGAGCGUCA